GCUCUUAGCACAAUUCAGAUUUGAACAUGUGAGUUUCACGUAUAAAAAAACCACGCAUCGUCACUACCAACAUAUCAUCACUGAAAUUGCUCACUGAUUCACUCAUGGUCGAGCGUGUGAUCCAGAUUCGUUCACAGUUACAAGAACUCUCACUUAGUAACACACGCGAAUUUCAAAUCCUUGUCCGAUCUCGACGUCGAAUCGCAAUUGGCCGAAAUCAAAUCGCUUAACCACUUGUUCUUGUGUACAGAAUGGAACCAAUUGAAGAAUGAAGAAUGUACCAGGUUCGUGCGUUGCAUGGAGAUGAAGAUGAAGAGCCUUUGAAUUCGUGCGUGUUGAUACUUAAUUCGUCAUUAUGCAUCGUUCUUCAAUCCAUUGCCUCGUUAUGGUUGUUCUGGGAUGGCGAGUGAUGAGGAUGACGCUCCAAUUAGUGCCUCCGAAAAAACGCGAACAGGUGUGCUUGUUGUUGGAUUCAUGGAGAUGGAUUGAAAACUGGUGCGAAUGGAAUGUUAUGGAGCCAUAAGAGAAAUGGAUUAGUUGGAAUCAUGGAAUGAAUGUAAUAUCUAAUAGUUGGAAUGGAUGUAAUUUUGGUUGUAAUUGGAAUUGGAAUAUGGUUUGAAAUUGUGUAUAAAUUUGGUUUAAUGUUUGUAAAUACUGUAACUUUGGAUUGAAGUUGAGAAUUGUUUUGAAAUUGUGAACAUAUGUAAAUUGAAAUGUAUAGAAAGUUGGAAUUGAAUGGAAAGUUUGAAUUU